GCCUGGUGCAGUGGCGCAUGCCUAUAAUCCCAGUGGCUUGGGAGGCUGAGGCAGGAGGAUCGCAAGUUCCCAGCCAGCCUUAACAACAGUGAGGCCCUAAGCAACUCAGUGAGACCCUGUCUCUA
rnacentral:sRNA from 1 species